rnacentral:rRNA from 1 species
UACGUAGGGGGGCUAGCGUUGUCCGGAAUCAUUGGGCGUAAAGAGCGUGUAGGCGGUCCGGUAAGUCCGCUGUGAAAGUCGGGGGGCUCAACCCUCGAAUGCCGGUGGAUACUGUCGGGCUAGAGUGCGGAAGAGGCGAGUGGAAUCCUGGUGUAGCGGUGAAAUGCGCAGAUAUCAGGAGGAACACCUAUUGCGAAGGCAGCUCGCUGGGACGUAACUGACGCUGAGACGCGAAAAGCGUGGGGAGCAAACAGG